rnacentral:lncRNA from 10 species
GUUGCUGUGAGCCAAAAUCGCACCAUUGCACUCCAGCCUGCGCAAGAAGAGCGAAACUCUGUCUCAAAAAAAAAAAAAAAAAAAAAGUGGACAAAAUGUAGUCCUAGGUCCUUGCAUUUGGCACAUUCAAGUUUGAUAAUACCAUUAGUUAUUGAGUAUUGUUGACCAGGCAUCGUGCUCCAUCAUUAAACACAUUAUCUGGUUUAUCUUUACAACAGGCUAAUGAGUUAGGUAUUAUGCCCCUCAUUGCCAAAAUUAGGAAGGAAACUAAGACCCAGAAGGAAUGAUUUUCAAGGCCACACAAUAAAUUGCAGAAUUUGGUUUCCAAGUCAGUCUGAAUUCAAGGUCCAUGUUCCUAACCACAGUGUUUUGCUGCAAACAAACACAGUUCACUGGGAUAAGUGCAGUUAUGGUGGCUUGUACAAAAUGUUCUGUGGUAGUACAGGCAGGGAGUGACAGCUUUAGCCUGCUAAACAGUCAAGACAGGCAUCACAUUCAAGUAACGUUAGAGCUGAGCCUGAAGGAUGGACAGGAUUUUGCAAGUGGAGGUGGGGAGAAGAGUUUUCUGGGCAGAGAGAACUGCGUACAAAGACAGAAGACCCUGAAAGCACAGAGCUUGUAGUUGGGGGCCCCUGAGCAUCUGGAAGAGAGGACAGGAAAUGAGGCAGGAACAGCUGAAGAGCAUCUUCUCCAGAGGUGAGUUCUGCCCCAGAGGCCAUGGGAGAGCCAGUUAAAGCGUUUAAGUGAGGGGUGGCACAUUGAGUCCAGUGUUUUAGACUGAUCUGCCAGCAGCAUUGUGGGUUGGCUGGGGUGCCAACAUUCAGCACUUCAUAACUGUUUACAUGUAUAUAAACAGCCUUGGCAUGUGAGACCACUGACAGUUUGCAUUUGUCUGUGUGAUGACCUGAUUAGUGUUUACAUCCUCCACCAGACUGUACAAGCUCCAUGAGGGCAGGGAAUGAGUCUGUUUUUGUUACCCUUACAUCACCAGCUCUUAUCACUACUCCUGGAACACAGAGAGAAUGGAAAAAAUAUUUAAAGGUUGAAUAAACGUCAUGGAAUCUCAUUCUGAUUUCUGGGGGCUCUAACCAGCAAAAAGAUGAAAAGACUGACGUAGAAGUAAACAAUUACAAUACAGUAGACAGUUUACUGUUUCAAUGAUUAAUUGUGCAAAGUAAUCUACCUGUUUACUUUUUUUAUUGCAAGUAACUUUUUCCACUUUAAUUGGGAAAGAUUUCCACAGCUGAGAAAAAAGCAAUUACAUAGCUACCGAAUUAUCUUUCCAGAUGAGUGCUGGCUUAUUCUUGAGGGUGGAGGUGACUGUGAUUUGAGAACACUGGAAAAGAAACCGCCUCAUUUCAGAAAAAUCCCUGUGAUGAACUUAAAUGACUCGAGAUGGGGAAAUGGUCACUGAAGCAGUAGCCAUGAAUUUAGGAGCUUAAAUUACUAAGAAAACUGUGUUUAAAAUAAACAGCCAAAGAAUGGCAAUAAACCAGCCCGGGGAGACUGAUGACAGCGCUCUUCAUGAAGCCCAUACUUGUCACUCUGCCACUCUGUAAUCUCACAUUCCGUGAAGUCUUUGAGCAGCCAGGACCCAUCCACUUUUCCUACGCCCUCUGCUCCAUAACGUAGGAGGUAUGGAAUUUGAAAGGAGUGUUUUUGGUUACUUUGCCUCACUGAAACUCAGGAGAAGUGGUACAAGGACGAAAACUCCUUUGCUUAAUUUCUCUAACCUAGAAGUUGAUCUAAUUUAUGAGUAAAAGAUCCUUCCAACCACAGAUUAGCACAUGAAAGAAAUAGCUCUGGCCUAGGGAAAUGAAGCCUUAGCAAAGAAGGUAUCCCAGUGAACGUGAGCAAAGGGCCUAGAUGCUGUAUAGUUCUGCAUCUAUGUCUACAUGUCACUUAUUGAGGACAUACUAUGUACUUACACUGUGAUAGAUCCUAGUCAUACCAAGGUGUAAAGACCAACAUACAUGAAAACAGUUAUGAAGUGCUGAAUGUUGGCACUCAUAGAUAUUAGGUUCCAAUCCCUGGAAUCUAUAAAUGGCUUCAAAGGGUCUUGCAAAUGUGUUUUAAGGAUCUUGAGAGAGUGAGAGUAGAGAACCUGACAUUUUAGCUUCUAGAAGGAAGAGGAAAGAUUGACCAAGGGAAAGCAAAGUUCCCAAAAUGGGCUUAAGACUAACAGUGCAGAGCUGGGCAUGGUGGCUCAUGCCUGUAAUCCCAGCAGUUUAGGAGGCUGAGGUAGGUGGAUCACUCGAGCCCAAGAGUUUGAGACCAACCUUGGCAAUGUGAUGAAACCCCAUCUCUACAACAAGAGCAACACAUUAGCUGGGCGUGGUGGCAUGCACCUGUAGUCCCAGCUAAUCAGGAGGCUGAGGAAGGAGGAUCGCCUGAGCCUGGGAGGCAGAGGUUUCAGUGAGCUUUGAUCAUGCCACUGCACUCCAGCCUGGGCAAUGGAGCUAAGCCUUGUCUCAAAAAUAAAAAAAAUAGGCUGGGAAUGGUGGCUCACACGUGUAAUCUCCGCACUUGGGGAGGCUGAGGCCGGUGGAUCACAAGGUCAGGAGACUGAGACCAUCCUGGCCAACACGGUGAAAUCCCGUCACUACUAAAAAUGCAAAAAAUUAGCCAGGUGUGGUGGUGUGUGCCUGUAAUCCCAGCCACUUGGGAGGCUGAGGCAGGAGAAUACCUUGAAACCGGGAGGUGGAGGUUGCAGUGAGCCCAGAUUGUGCUAUUGCACUCCAGCCUAGCCACAGAGUGAGACUGUCUCAAUAAAUAAAUAAAUAAUAAAGACCACAGUUGAAAUUCACUGGGGUAGGAGAGACUUUGACAGUCCAAUGGACAAUUUUUCUUGGACUUAACGAAUGUUUCCAUAGCUCUCACUAUGUACCAGGUGUACC